CACUCUCGCAAAUGACCAACCAUGGUUUUCAAGCUUGACUUCAGGAAGGCCUUUGAUUCUGUUUCCUAGCCCGCCCUUGACAAAAUCUUGGCUGUCCGCGGCUUCUCCCAAACUUUUCGUACCUGGAUUCAAAAUAUCCUCCACACGGGCAAAACUGCCAUCCUCCUAAAUGGCAUUCCAGGCCACUGGAUACAAUGCAAGAAUGGCCUGCGACAGGGCGACCCAGCCUCACCCUACCUUUUCCUCAUCGUCGCCGAUCUGCUUCAGCAACUCAUCCUCCAAAACUCUGAACCUGCUCUUCACCACCCCAUCUUUACCCACCUGCCCCCACCAUUCUCCAAUACGCCGAUGAUAUGCUUAUCAUCGCAGCCGCCUCUCCCAUCGCCGCUGUAG
rnacentral:rRNA from 1 species